rnacentral:tRNA from 1 species
GGCACUUUGGCGGAGUGGUUAACGCGAUGCCCUGCUAUUUCCACAGUGAAGUAUUUAGGCAUUUCCCUCGGGAGCGAGUGUUCGAAUCACUCAGGUGUCG